UACGAAGGGUGCAAGCGUUACUCGGAAUUACUGGGCGUAAAGCGUGCGUAGGUGGUUUGUUAAGUCUGAUGUGAAAUCCCUCGGCUUAACCGGGGAACUGCGUCUGAUACUGGAUGGCUUGAGAUUGGGAGAGGGAUGCGGAAUUCCAGGUGUAGCGGUGAAAUGCUUAGAUAUCUGGAGGAACACCGGUGGCGAAGGCGGCAUCCUGGACCAACACUGACGCUGAGGAGCGAAAGCGUGGGGAGCGAACAGG
rnacentral:rRNA from 1 species